UUUUGGGGUUUUUUGGCCAUGUUCGUUGCCAUUGUUUGGUGGACAUUUUGGAGUAAAUUCAGUGGGUUUUUAGGGUAGGCUAGGCCAUCUGGGUUGGUAAGGAAGUUAGGCUGGAGUUAUUGAAGAUUUGUUCAAGGCUAGGAUGGUAUUUUCCUGUAGGAGGGCUACUUCGAAUGCUUGAGAGAUAGAGGUUGGUCUAAUGAUUUUAACCAUGGAUCUAAUUUCUUCUUUCA
rnacentral:lncRNA from 1 species